CGGAUGAACGCUAGCUACAGGCUUAACACAUGCAAGUCGAGGGGCAGCAUGAUUGAAGCUUGCUUCAAUCGAUGGCGACCGGCGCACGGGUGAGUAACACGUAUCCAACCUGCCGAUAACUCGGGGAUAGCCUUUCGAAAGAAAGAUUAAUACCCGAUAGCAUAGUUUCCCCGCAUGGGGUUACUAUUAAAGGAUUCCGGUUAUCGAUGGGGAUGCGUUCCAUUAGGCAGUUGGCGGGGUAACGGCCCACCAAACCAACGAUGGAUAGGGGUUCUGAGAGGAAGGUCCCCCACAUUGGAACUGAGACACGGUCCAAACUCCUACGGGAGGCAGCAGUGAGGAAUAUUGGUCAAUGGACGAGAGUCUGAACCAGCCAAGUAGCGUGAAGGAUGACUGCCCUAUGGGUUGUAAACUUCUUUUAUACGGGAAUAAAGUUUGCCACGUGUGGCUUUUUGCAUGUACCGUAUGAAUAAGGAUCGGCUAACUCCGUG
rnacentral:rRNA from 1 species